AGAUUUGAUCAUGGCUCAGAUUGAACGCUGGCGGUAGGCUUAACACAUGCAAGUCGUGCGAGAAAGUAUCUUCGGAUAUGAGUAGAGCGGCGGACGGGUGAGUAACGCGUAGGAAUCUACCUAGUAGAAGGGGAUAGCCCGGGGAGACUCGGAUUAAUACCGUAUACCUCCUUAGGGAGAAAGAAGGCCUCUCAUUGAGGCUUUCGCUAUUAGAUGAGCCUGCGUUAGAUUAGCUUGUUGGUGAGGUAAAGGCUCACCCAGGCGACGAUCUUUAGCGGGUCUGAGAGGACAAUCCGCCACCUUGGGACUGAGA
rnacentral:rRNA from 1 species